UAAAUAUGACUCAGAUUUUCGUGUAUGUUUCUCUUAGCUCUUUCCUUCUCUUUUUCGAUCUCUUCUUUCACAUGGGUCUACUUCUGAAUUUGAUCCUAAUUAAUUAGUUGCCUUUCGAAUAUAUGUGUAUUCCACUUUCACAUCCCAGAUUUGCAUUCCGUAUACUCUAUUCCUUUUGUUACACUUUCUAGCCUUAUUUUUUGAGUUUCCUUUCAAAUUUUUCUAAUUUUCCUUCAGUGUGUGCUAUAUGUGCAACCAAGGUGUUUGAUAAUAUGUCUUAAAUUACAAGAACUGUGUUGUUUACUUGAGAGCUGAAUUCGGCAUUUUAGGUAUGUAUUUGUACUGGGUGCUCAUUUUUUGGGUUUCUUUUAAAAGACUAUUGUUUGACUUUUCUGCAGGUUAUGGGAUUUGUUCCCUUUAAUUACAUAUUAACAAGAUCUCCUAUUCUUUCUUCACAUACAAUGAUUUACGUAUAUUAUUUACUCUUUGAUUUUUGCGUUUGAAAGAUUUAACUUGAGAAACUGCAUUUGAAAAAUCAACAAGAAAAAAUCUCAGUAAGGAACUUUACCAUAAGGUGUUAAAUUUGAAAUUUUCAUAUGCAACAUGGCAUUAAAGGCUAUAAGUUUGAAAUGGAAGUUUCAAUAAUUGUGCGGGAGAUUUUGUUAACUAAUGGUUCUAAUGCUAAUUAGCGCUUUUCUUGAUGUUUAUACGGCCAAUUAGUAUCCCUCAAAUUAUAGUUAGUCACAUUGGAGAGUAUAGAAUUACAUAAUAGACUUUGGUUAGCUUUUCAAUAGUGCAGACUAUUAUCUUCUGCUAUUAUUAUUCAUAUGUAUUGUAUUAUGUUAAAUGAUUUAUAUUGCUAGCAUAUUGCAGUUAAAAGGUUGUAUACGGGUAGAACCGGUCUCAUAGUACAUUCCGAUCUCCGACAUGAUAAGCCAAACUCGAGAUAUGGUAACAAGGGAGCUUGAUCGAGGUAGAGAUCUUAUCAAUUUGGAGUCCGUACCAUAACGCCCGCCCUCGAGGAUGUCGGGGUCAUGAUUCGGGAUCGGUUCCUAGCCUCGAUUAACUUAGAAGAACGUUGCCAGGCAGUCAAGUCCGGCCAACAGAAGGUCGUGAUAUCCGUGACCGACCGAAUAUCACAACGGAGAUGUCGAC
rnacentral:lncRNA from 1 species